rnacentral:lncRNA from 1 species
AUGCCGUUGAAUACCGAGUUUAUAAAAAGGAUACUCAGUGUUGCUGUUUCCCUUUUCUCUUCUUGGUGUCCAGCGUCAUGGAGCUCUUCAUUGGAACAUGUGCUAAGCCCUGGCUCUAAGAACAAGGAGGUGAGCAGCCAAGAGCAAUACUUGCAGGAAGGGCCAGGCUGCCGGUGUCAGAGGAGUGGUAGUGGAUUCAACAGGACCCUCAGGUACGUGAUGGCAAAAGUUGUUGAUGAAAGAGAAAUAAGAAGGCAAUUGAAAAACUGGGAAUCCAUAAAGGAAAUGGAAUAAAGCUGAAAGGAUAAGGAGCCAGCACAAAGCCAAAACCAUAGGUAAAAUGAGGACUCUCAAUGGUGAGUUGAAGCAGUGAAGAAUUUUUUUUAAAAAGAAACCUGAUAUCUGAUAACAUUAUACAUAAAUAACCAUAUAACAAAGAUUGUCACUUGGAAAAUUUAUACAUACAUCCAAAGCAAAAUGUAACACACAAAAUAAAAAACACAACUAAAAUAGUGGACUAGUAUGG